rnacentral:rRNA from 1 species
AYGGYGGAGACCUAGGCACCCAGAGACGAAGAAGGGCGCAGAUACCGGCGAAACGCUUCGGGGAGCUGGCAGCAAGCUUUGAUCCGAAGAUCCCCGAAUGGGAUAACCUCAUAGAACUCCUCAUUCAAUUCAUACUUGAGGCAGGGACAACCCAGUGAACUGAAACAUCUAAGUAGCUGGAGGAAAAGAAAGCAAACGCGAUUCCCGUAGUAGUGGCGAGCGAACCGGGAACAGCCUAAACCCCCAAAAAAAUUGGGGCGGUUGUGGGAAGACAAGAAUGCGUAGCAUUAAUAAAUUGUAAAGACGAAGCAGCUGAAUCCUGCACCAUAGAUGGUGAAAGUCCAGUAGUCAAAAAACAAAAAAACUGUCUAUUUAAGCGUUUUAGUAAGCCGUUACAGUUCAUAGUUGGCACAGGCAAGCUAAAAUUGUUUAUAUCCCGAGUAGCAUGGAACACGUGGAAUUCCGUGUGAAUCAGCGAGGACCACCUCGUAAGGCUAAAUAUUCCUGGGUGACCGAUAGCGAAAUAGUACUGCGAAGGAAAGGUGAAAAGUACCCCCGUUGGGGAGUGAAAUAGAACAUGAAACCGUUUGCUGACAAGCAGUGGGAGGGUACAGAACCUGACCGCGUGCCUGUUGAAGAAUGAGCCGGCGACUUAUAGGAAGUGGUUUUGGUUAAGGUGUAAAAACCGGAGCCCAAGCGAAAGCGAGUCUGAAUAGGGCGCUUAUAGUCACUUUUUAUGGACCCGAACCCGGGUGAUCUAUUCAUGACCAGAUUGAAGCCUGGGUAACACCAUGUGGAAGAUCGAACCGACCGAUGUUGAAAAAUCGGCUGAUGAGUUUUGAAUAGCGGAGAAAUUCCAAUCGAACUCGGAGCUAGCUGGAUCUCCCCGAAAUGCGUUGAGGCGCAGCGGCAAUUAUGAGCUGUCUAGGGGUAAAGCUACUGUUUCGAUGCGGGCUGCGAAAGCGGUACCAAGUCGUGGCAAACUCAGAAUACUAGACAAUGCCUUCUAUUAGCCAGUGAGACUUUGGGGGAUAAGCUUCAAAGUCAAGAGGGAAACAGCCCAGAUCACCAGAUAAGGCCCCUAAAUGAUCACUAAGUGGAAAAGGAUGUGAGAAUGCUCAAACAACCAGGAGGUUUGCUUAGAAGCAGCCACCCUUGAAAGAGUGCGUAAUAGCUCACUGGUAAAGCGUUCUUGCGCCGACAAUGGCCGGGACUAAGUGAUCUGCCGAAGCUGUGAUAUUAUUUUUUUUAAUAAUAGGUAGGGGAGCGUUCCGUUUUGGGUGAAGUUUUCGCUAAAGCGGGGAUGGACAGGACGGAAGUGAGAAUGUUGGCUUGAGUAACGAAAACAUUGGUGAGAAUCCAAUGCCCCGAAAACCUAAGGGUUCCUCCACUAGGUUCGUCCAUGGGGGGUAAGGCAGGACCUAAGGCGAGGCCAAAACGGCGUAGUCGAUGGCAAACAGGUUAAUAUUCCUGUUCUAAUAAAAUUGGGGACCGAGGGACGAAGGAGGCUAAACUGGAACUGCUACUGGAUUUCAGUGGAAGCGUUUAGACGUUUAAAGCUAGAAUAAAAACUAUGCUGUAGUUAAGGCGUUAUCCCUAUCUUUAGCUUGCUAAAGGUAGCCAGCGAUGUCAAACUUCCUAGAAAAGCUCGUACACUGGUCUAAUGUUUACAUUAGAUAAACAAUUUUAUUACCUGUACCUGAAACCGACACAGGUAGGUUGGUAGAGAAUACCAAGGGGCGCGAGAGAACUCUCUCUAAGGAACUCGGCAAAUUGGCCUCGUAACUUCGGAAGAAGAGGCACCUACUCUCCCCUUUAUGGAGGAGAGUAGGUCGCAGUGACCAAGCCCAGGCGACUGUUUACCAAAAACACAGGUCUCCGCAAAGUCGUAAGACGAUAUAUGGGGGCUGACGCCUGCCCAGUGCCGGAAGGUUAAGGAAGUUGGUUAUUCCUCGGAAGAAGCUGACAACCGAAGCCCCGGUGAACGGCGGCCGUAACUAUAACGGUCCUAAGGUAGCGAAAUUCAUUGUCUGGUAAGUUCAGACCUGCACGAAAGGCGUAACGACUCUGGGCGCUGUCUCGGAGAGAGACUCGGUGAAAUAGACUUGUCCCGUGAAGAUGCGGACUACCAUCACCUGGACAGAAAGACCCUAUGAAGCUUGACUGUAUCCUGGAAUUGGGUUUCGGUUCUUCUUGCGCAGUCUAGGUGGGAGGCUAUGAAGAUUUCCUUCCGGGGAAGUUAGAGCCAUCAGUGAGAGACCACUCUGGAGGAACUAAAAUUCUAAUGGCGUUCCUUAUAUCAGGACGCUUGACAUUUUCAGGUGGGCAGUUUUUCUGGGGCGGAAACCUCCUAAAGGGUAACGGAGGCGCGCAAAGGUUCCCUCAGUCUGGAUGGAAAUCAGACAUUGAGUGUAAAGGCAGAAGGGAGCUUGAUUGCAAGACCUACAAGUCGAGCAAGGGCGAAAGCCGGCCUUAGUGAUCCGACGGUGCCGAGUGGAAGGGCCGUCGCUCAACGGAUAAAAGUUACUCUAGGGAUAACAGGCUGAUCUUCCCCAAGAGUCCACAUCGACGGGAAGGUUUGGCACCUCGAUGUCGGCUCAUCACAUCCUGGAGCGGUAGUACGUUCCAAGGGUUGGGCUGUUCGCCCAUUAAAGUGGUACGUGAGCUGGGUUCAAAACGUCGUGAGACAGUUCGGUCCAUAUCCG